rnacentral:rRNA from 1 species
AUGAACGCUGGCGGCGUGCUUAACACAUGCAAGUCGAACGGGAAACCUUUUAAAGAAGCUUCGGCAGAUUUAGCUGGUUUCUAGUGGCGGACGGGUGAGUAACGCGUGGGUAACCUGCCUUGUACAGGGGGAUAACAGUCAGAAAUGACUGCUAAUACCGCAUAAGCGCACAGGACCGCAUGGUCUGGUGUGAAAAACUCCGGUGGUAUAAGAUGGACCCGCGUUGGAUUAGCUAGUUGGUGGGGUAACGGCCUACCAAGGCGACGAUCCAUAGCCGGCCUGAGAGGGUGAACGGCCACAUUGGGACUGAGACACGGCCCAGACUCCUACGGGAGGCAGCAGUGGGGAAUAUUGCACAAUGGGGGAAACCCUGAUGCAGCGACGCCGCGUGAAGGAAGAAGUAUCUCGGUAUGUAAACUUCUAUCAGCAGGGAAGAAAAUGACGGUACCUGACUAAGAAGCCCCGGCUAACUACGUGCCAGCAGCCGCGGUAAUACGUAGGGGGCAAGCGUUAUCCGGAUUUACUGGGUGUAAAGGGAGCGUAGACGGAUGGACAAGUCUGAUGUGAAAGGCUGGGGCUCAACCCCGGGACUGCAUUGGAAACUGCCCGUCUUGAGUGCCGGAGAGGUAAGCGGAAUUCCUAGUGUAGCGGUGAAAUGCGUAGAUAUUAGGAGGAACACCAGUGGCGAAGGCGGCUUACUGGACGGUAACUGACGUUGAGGCUCGAAAGCGUGGGGAGCAAACAGGAUGAGAUACCCUGGUAGUCCACGCGGUAAACGAUGAAUGCUAGGUGUCGGGUGACAAAGUCAUUCGGUGCCGCCGCAAACGCAUUAAGCAUUCCACCUGGGGAGUACGUUCGCAAGAAUGAAACUCAAAGGAAUUGACGGGGGCCCGCACAAGCGGAGGAACAUGUGGUUUAAUUCGAUGAUACGCGAGGAACCUUACCCGGGCUUAAAUUGCAGAUGAAUUACGGUGAAAGCCGUAAGCCGCAAGGCAUCUGUGAAGGUGCUGCAUGGUUGUCGUCAGCUCGUGUCGUGAGAUGUUGGGUUAAGUCCCGCAACGAGCGCAACCCCUAUCCCCAGUAGCCAGCGGUUCGGCCGGGCACUCUGAGGAGACUGCCAGGGAUAACCUGGAGGAAGGCGGGGAUGACGUCAAAUCAUCAUGCCCCUUAUGAUUUGGGCUACACACGUGCUACAAUGGCGUAAACAAAGGGAAGCGAACCUGCGAGGGUGGGCAAAUCCCAAAAAUAACGUCCCAGUUCGGACUGUAGUCUGCAACCCGACUACACGAAGCUGGAAUCGCUAGUAAUCGCGGAUCAGAAUGCCGCGGUGAAUACGUUCCCGGGUCUUGUACACACCGCCCGUCACACCAUGGGAGUCAGUAACGCCCGAAGUCAGUGACCUAACCGCAAGGAAGGAGCUGCCGAAGGCGGGGCCGAUGACUGGGGUG